AGGCACAUGGCUCAAUUGGUAGAGUACAUGCCUAGCAAGCAGAAGGCUGUGAGUUCAAUCCCCAUUACCUCUA
rnacentral:tRNA from 1 species